GACGAACGCUGGCGGCGUGCCUAAUACAUGCAAGUAGAACGCUGACUACUUUAGCUUGCUAGAGUAGAAGGAGUUGCGAACGGGUGAGUAACGCGUAGGUAACCUGCCUACUAGCGGGGGGUAACUAUUGGAAACGAUAGCUAAUACCGCAUAACAGUGUUUAACACAUGUUAGAUGCUUGAAAGAUGCAAUUGCAUCACUAGUAGAUGGACCUGCGUUGUAUUAGCUAGUUGGUGGGGUAACGGCCCACCAAGGCGACGAUACAUAGCCGGCCUGAGAGGGUGAUCGGCCACGCUGGGACUGAGACACGGCCCAG
rnacentral:rRNA from 1 species